rnacentral:rRNA from 1 species
GACGAACCGUGCGAACGUUGUUCGGAAUCACUGGGCUUAAAGGGUGCGUAGGCGGGUUGUCCAGUCUGGGGUGAAAUCCCACGGCUCAACCGUGGAAUUGCCUCAGAUACUGACGACCUCGAGGGAGGUAGGGGCGAGCGGAACUGUGGGUGGAGCGGUGAAAUGCGUUGAGAUCCAUAGGAACUCCGGUGGCGAAGGCGGCUCGCUGGACCUCUUCUGACGAUGAGGCACGAAAGCUAGGGGAGCAAACGGG